GUUCCCGCUCAAUGAAAGGGAUCUGUGCAUAGCCGUCAAUAUUGGGACUGGAAUUCGCCUCACCAAUCGAAUUCUGCACACACGUGUGGACUAACGCCAAAGAGCAAAACCCGCUAGAUCAAGCCGCGAAACCACCUUAUUUUCCACCUGGCAGUCCAUUUGAUCCCCACCACCACCACCACGAAUAUAUUUUCAGUAAAUCCACAAAGCCCCAUGUGUGCCUGAGUGUUGUGUCCCCUCACAUGUUUUUGCAGCUCUCAGGAAGACCAUGCCACCGCAGAGAAAUGCUGAGGAAUCCAGCUUGUUUACCAUAUAGCUGCAGCUUGAAGGCUACAUUAGAAGAAGGCGAGCGGCACCUAGCAAAUGGACAAUGAAGUUAGAAACAAACGACUGAAGAAAAACAACAUGGAUAAGACUUGUUUCCUGGAUCUGAAAAUUUUUUUUACACCACUGUUUUAUACUGGGUCGAAAAGAGUGCAACUGCCAUAUGGCUUAAAAAGUAUAUUAAUACAUUAAAAAUAAUAAAUUUUUAAUUUAGUUUUUCAGAGAUAGGAGGAAGUGGAGGAAUCAGGCUGUAGCUCCAAAGCCAAUGCACGUUUUACUGAGAAGUCUGGCUCAAUCCUGCUCAUCUUUUACUCAGAGGUCAUUGUGUCAAGUAAGGGAACAUUGCAGCCAUGCAACUGGACUGAGUUCCAUGAGGCUUAUCCCCAAGGGAUUGCAACUGCAAUUUGAUUCAAUCACUGUUUGGUCAGAGACCAGUAACUCAUAGGAUUGCAGCCUGCCUGAGUGAAGGCUUCGGCCUAUGUGGCUGCAGUUCCUAGGCAAAUUUAGGAGGAAACUCUACUAGACUUAUUAGUGGGGUUUACCAGGCCUUAGCCAGCCUAAAUGGGGGUGGGGUGGAUGACAAAGAAGUUGGGGGGCAUCAUCUGGCCUUUUAAAGACAGGAUUCAAGCAGCAUUCAGCUAUUUAAAAAUAGUUGUUAAAAACAUUUAGGGGAGGUAGGGAGAAAAGGACUUGGGGGCGGUCCCAUCCUCCUGCUACAGGUCUGGGGCUUACUUCCUCCCAUGCAUGUAUAGACCAGGAUACAAAAAUGGAAAAGACAAAAGGUGUUUCAUCUCAAGGAUGCUUUAAGUGGAAAACAGAGCCAGGAAAUGCUGAUGGCAAAGCAAAGUCCAUGGUCAAAGAAGUCAAGAGAGGAGGGGGUGAGCAGGUAUUCCUUUUCAGGAUGAGGAGAAAGGUGAUGAGCAGCACUGGAAUCUGUCACUUCCCCAGACCACCUUUCUCAGGCUGACUGCUUCCAGAGCAUCAUCAAAUGCAUCAUGUUGACCUCAAGCUGGUAUCUUUGUAUGGGCUCAUAACCAGAAAUGUGAGGUGACUGGCCACUAAGGAUACACAGGACAGUACUGUAAGUCAGUAUAGAACACAUAUGCCUAAAUAGAAGCACUCAACUGAAAUAUGUUUAAAUUACAAUAAUUGAAUGUGUUAAAUCAUUUCAACAAAAUCAGUGUUGAUAAACUUCAAAUGUGUCUUGUGUUGUAUACCCUCUCUGGCACCACCACACCCAAAUCUCAGGUGCUCUUUCCCAGCACUUGUUCCCCAAGACCCUUUGUAAUGGAGAUGCUGGGACUGAACUUGAACCACAUGCAAGAGUUAUGCUCUGCCAUUGAGCUCUGGUCCCUAACUAGAGUCGUGACAUCUUGAUGAGGCCAGUACCUCUGCCACUCCUGUGUGACUAUAGCUAGCCAGCUUUAAGUUUCUAUUGAAUGCUAUACCACUAAUGGAAGGCUUUGCACAUUAUAGGAAGCUUUAAAAAGCAGAUGGUCAAGUCAAACAAACAUCCUUAUUUUAUAUCUCCAGGGUAAUCCCUAAAUUGACAGUGUUGUAUUCUAUCCAGUAUUGUUUAUGUUUGGUUGUUUAGAAGUUUGUCCAGGUGGGGAUCCUGCAGAUAGUGUGUGUGAGGUGGGGGAGGAAGGGAAAGGGAGAGGAAGGAGAAGGAGAAAAUGGAGUUGUUUCUGAAUAAACUGUUAGUUAAAUCUAAAUAUAAGUUUAUUUUGUACUUGUGAGGGAAACAGCUAUAAAACAGUUUGCAAGUCUCCUCUCAGGAAAAUUUGUGUUUAUAUGCUCAUACCUUAACCUUUUGAAGAGUGAUGAUUAGAAACCAUUAUUUCAUUUAUUUAUCUAAAAUAUUUUAUAUCCUGCCGUUUAGGUUCCAAGGCACCAACCUUUCGCUCUGUGUGAAGGGAAUUUGGACAAGCUCACCAAUGAGACCUGGUGAGGCAGCCACCUUACCAGAUUGGUGCAGUAGACAUGGUGUUUGUGGAGAGAGUCGUAUCUCUUCCAGCUGCUUCCACCUCACUGGGCUGCCCUGCUCCUAUCCAACCUUGUUACUACUCCUGUUCCUCCUACAGGAGGCUUUACACACAGGGCUUCUACCCCGAAUCUACUUCAGAGGAGAGUGUGUGAGUUCACAUAUCAGCCAAACUUACCUCGAAGUCCCUUCGAUAUUCUUGGACCCACUCCACACAAAAAUCUGGCUUUGUGAUGCAAAUUCUAGCUUAUCUCUACCUAUUUCCGGAUUUUUUAAAUGCUGGUUUUAAGCUACUUUUUCUGAAAACACGGUAGCAAAUAGGAAGAGGGACUGUAGUAGAAUCAUUAGCAUGAUAAGAGGGAUGUUCUCUUUAGAAAUGUAGAUAUCACUCUUAAGGAAGAUCUCAUCCUCCCCCCCAUUGGCUAGAAGGAAAACACGGAGCAUGCCAUGUGAACUACUGGGUGAUGAACAGGCCGGUUUUAGAUCAGGGUGCUCGGUUAUGGACCAUGUACUAACCCUUCGUCAUUUAGUUGAUAAAUAUGGUAGCAAGCCUAGGUCUUUCUUGUAUGUUGUGUUUAUUGAUUUUAAAUCAGCUUUCGAUUCUAUUUCAAGGUCCACCUUAUGGGAAAAGCUUGCUCAAACCAACAUUGAUAGGUGGCUUCUUUUUCUAAUGUAUCACCUACAUGAAAAUUCCAACAUAAGGGUAAGAUAUAACCCUAAAGGAUCCCUGUCUCAAUCAAUCUCUACCAACAAAGGAGUUAGGUAGGGGUACAUUUUAGCACCCUCACUCAAUUUUUAUGUUAACGAUUUAGCAGCCAACUUAACGAACCCAGGGUUUCAUCCUCCAACUAUUGCAGGAGUUGGAAUUUCACUUCUUCUUUAUGCGGACAAUGCAGCAAUUAUGGCUAGAUCCCCUGUUGGGCUCAGGAGAGCUCUUAGGCAGUUGGGUUGCUAUUGCAGGGAUGAUCAUUUAAUUAUUAACUAUCAGAAGUCUACGGUCAUGGUUUUUGCUAGAAAGCCUAGAGUGUUGCAUUGGUCCAUUGAGGACCGUCAACUUGAGCAGGUCAACAUAUAUAAGUAUCUUGGUGUGAUUCUUCAUGCCAGAGGGUCUUGGAAGGCCCAUAUGGACCAUGUAGCUCAAUUGGCACAAAGGAGUUCUGCUGCCAUUUUGAGAUUUUUUUCGUACCAAGGGAGGUGAGGUUAUACCAGCUGCCUUAAGGUUAUUUGUGGCCAAAUUUAGGAAUCAGCUUCUUUAUGGUGCCCAACUCGGCCCAUACCCCUCUUAUAGGACGUUAGAAAUUGUGCAAUCUAAGUUCAUCAGGGCAGUUCUUAGAGCCCCCAGAUGCUCUUCUAAUGAGGCGCUGAGACUCAGAUUGGGGAUUCAGAGAAUUGAAGCCAGGGCAUGGAUUCUAAUCUUAGUUUAUUGGCUUAAGAUCAGUUUCUCUCCUCAAGGUUGGAUCUCUUUGGUCUUGGCUGAUGGAUUUCAGUCAUCUUGGAUGCAUGCUAUCCAGAAUAAAAUCUCAGCUUUUGGCCUCUCUCAAGAUUACCUAUUUCUGUUAAAUUAUAACCAGGCUGUAGAGGUGUUGAAACAAAGAAUUCUGGACAUAGAGUGUCAGAGUGACCUUAGUCUUAUUUCUGACUAUAUCAGGAGGAGACUUGAUUUCCCUUUUGGAGGUUCAUCUUCCUAUCUGCAAACUUUAAAUUACCCCCAUCAUCAAAGGGCCUUUUUUUAGGGUGAGACAUGAUGUACAGCCCUCUGUAGGGCUUUUUGGGAGAUUUUUGAAGGUCCCAAGGAGUGACAGACUUUGUCCUUGUCGUUAGGGGAUGUUGAAAAUGUACAACAUGUUCUGUUGUGUUGCUUAUUCUAUAAGGACAUACGACAGACUUUAUUAACUCCUAUUGUAUUAUCUUUGCCUGGUUGUUCAGAAGAAUUUUAUGUUGCCUUUUUUGCCUUUGCAGACAAAAUUCCCUCAAUUACGUAUAAGGUGGCUAAGUUUUGCUCUGUUGCUAUUAGGAAUCGACAACAACUAACUUCCUGUCCUGUCUUUUAGAUUCUUGGUUCGGUUAGGAUGCUGGAUAACAGCUAUUUUUAUAUGUAAAUGCGAUUUGUUCUCCUUCUGGUUAUUUCCAUUGUUAUUUUAUGUAUUCUUUUUAUCUGCACUUUUCUGUAAAGUUUUAACUUGUAUUUGCUGAUCCUUGAUCAUUGAUAGUAAUUGUUGAUAGCCAUGUGAACUUGUUUCAAAACAAAAUCCAAGAGCAGAGGGGCUGCUUCCCUCAGUGCCACAAGUGUAGUUUGAAGUGGCUUCGCUUAACAUUUACCCCGAAGUGUGAAGCCAUGUGCGAAUAACUCCCAGGUGACGGAGCCUGUUCUGGUUUCCCUGUGUUUUCAAAAGCAGGAUGUUUUCCUGACAUUCUGCUUCUUUUCUCAAAUGGCAGGGAGAGCAAGAUGAACUCAGCCAUCUGGAGGAGAAGCAGUAGCAAUGCCUGCAGCCAAAAAAGUAACUGUGCGGGUGUGGGAGCCUCCACUGGAUGCCUGGUGCGCCCCCUUUAGAGUCUACAGAGGUUAUAUUGGGAGCUGGCAGCCUGCUGACUGAAAGGGGCACACACAGGGGCGUAACUACCAUUAGGCAAGGGGAGACAGUCAUCUCGGGGCCCCACUGCCUUGAGGGGGCCCCCAGAAACACCUCACAUGACUCCCCAUCGCCCUCUGCCCAGCCCCAAGGCCCCUCAGCCACUUGCCCUGUUUGCUCUCUCUCCUGCUUGUCGUCCUGGCCGGCAAUCAGAGCAGCAGGCAAGCUGCUUUUCUCCCCGCCUCUCAGCUGAUCGGCAGGUGGGCGGGGCUUCCAGGGAGGCCUCCGUGUAGGCCUCAGUGAAGCCUAAACUCCAGUAGGCCGGCAAGCCCCAGGAAGGAUCUGGCAGUCAGAGUGGCCACUGGCCACCACAGUUCUCUGCAGCAGACCCUCUGCCCAGGCCAGACAGCUCAGCCUUUGCCAGGUAGAAUGUGAAUUCCUUUUUGUGGUUACACCCCCCCCAUAGGGAUCUGCUUGCCAUAGGGCUUUGAUGGGGGGUGGAGACUGAGAAGUCUCUGAAUAUUUAAUUUAAAACUGAUUGGAAAAUUUACUGGCUUAAAAAAAAACUAUCUAAAAAGUCCUAUAAGUGGCUUGUUUAAUGGAAGAAAAUUACAAAAACUUCUAGAACAAAUUUAUGUAUGUAUGUAUGUAUGUAUUCAUUCAUUCAUAAAUACACUUAUGUUCAAGUUGUUUUGCAACCCAGAAGGUCUGAGUGAGAACUGUGACAUGUGUGAGAACUGACGCAUGUGUUGUGCUUUUAUUUAUUUUUUUCCUUAGGGUAAAUUUGGCCAACAUGUGAAUGCCGCACCUCCAUUCCAGAGGAGAUGUGUGUUAAAGGGCUUUAAAAGCCUUGUGUGAAAAACCUCCUGGAAUCAAACUUUACUGAAUUUGUUCAGAAUUCUGAGAAGACAUACAUAGGCUCACACUGCAUGGUUGAAAGUCUCCUUUGCUAAUCUUCAGCGAGGGGCCCAUUUUAAUAAUUAGUGUUUCUAGUGUGUUCUAGGCAUUAAAAGUAGCACAGAUGUAUAGUAUUCAAUGUAUAUCACUAUAUAUUGUGAAGUGUGUGUGUGUGUGUAUUCAGUGAAAUGUAUUUCCAGGCAGCAUACUUAUUUUGAAAUAUCAGACUUAAAUCCUUGGGAGCCUGGGGGGUGUGGAGGCCCUGGACUUUGGGGCGGGGGGGGGCAUUUUAAAAUCUCGUCUGUGGGCCCACUCCAACCUUGCUACGCCCCUGGGCCUGCCCCCUUUAAAGCCUGUAAGGGUCAGAUCAGGAGCUCCCAACCCUUUGACUGAAAGGGGCUCACUCCCAGCCUUCAUUAGGGUGUGAUGACUCUGACUUGCUGACUCUGACUGAAGCCAUUCCUGUAGAUUUUUGUUGUUGUUCCAUCAUGUGCAUGUGUGUGUUUAAAAUGUAUUCACACAUAUAUAUUAUUUGUCAUCAAAAGAAGUGCAAAGAAGUUUCAGAUUCACUGACCCCAGCAUCCCAGUUUGUUCCUAUAUAACUGCUUCUUGUAGGCAGAAAAAUGGGGCAAAAAAAUUGCAGGAAUAAAGACUUCUGUUUGUUCCCUGA